UCGAACGAAACACCUUAUUUGAUUUUCUUCGGAACUGAAGAUUUGGUGAUUGAGUGGCGGACGGGUGAGUAACGCGUGGGUAACCUGCCCUGUACAGGGGGAUAACAGUCAGAAAUGACUGCUAAUACCGCAUAAGACCACAGCACCGCAUGGUGCAGGGGUAAAAACUCCGGUGGUACAGGAUGGACCCGCGUCUGAUUAGCUGGUUGGUGAGGUAACGGCUCACCAAGGCGACGAUCAGUAGCCGGCUUGAGAGAGUGAACGGCCACAUUGGGACUGAGACACGGCCCAAACUCCUACGGGAGGCAGCAGUGGGGAAUAUUGCACAAUGGGGGAAACCCUGAUGCAGCGACGCCGCGUGAGUGAAGAAGUAUCUCGGUAUGUAAAGCUCUAUCAGCAGGGAAGAAAAUGACGGUACCUGACUAAGAAGCCCCGGCUAACUACGUGCCAGCAGCCGCGGUAAUACGUAGGGGGCAAGCGUUAUCCGGAAUUACUGGGUGUAAAGGGUGCGUAGGUGGUAUGGCAAGUCAGAAGUGAAAACCCAGGGCUUAACCCUGGGACUGCUUUUGAAACUGUCAGACUGGAGUGCAGGAGAGGUAAGCGGAAUUCCUAGUGUAGCGGUGAAAUGCGUAGAUAUUAGGAGGAACAUCAGUGGCGAAGGCGGCUUACUGGACUG
rnacentral:rRNA from 1 species